GUGAGGAAUAUUGGUCAAUGGGCGCAAGCCUGAACCAGCCAUGCCGCGUGCAGGAAGACGGUCCUAUGGAUUGUAAACUGCUUUUAUUUGGGAAUAAACUCCGGUACGUGUACCGGCCUGAAGGUACCAAAUGAAUAAGCACCGGCUAACUCCGUGCCAGCAGCCGCGGUAAUACGGAGGGUGCAAGCGUUAUCCGGAAUCAUUGGGUUUAAAGGGUCCGCAGGCGGUCUUAUACGUCAGUGGUGAAAGCCUACAGCUCAACUGUAGAACUGCCAUUGAUACUGUAGGACUUGAAUUCGAUCGAAGUGGGCGGAAUGUGACAUGUAGCGGUGAAAUGCUUAGAUAUGUCACAGAACACCGAUAGCGAAGGCAGCUCACUAGGUCUGGAUUGACGCUCAGGGACGAAAGCGUGGGGAGCAAACAGGAUUAGAAACCCUUGUAGUCC
rnacentral:rRNA from 1 species